rnacentral:rRNA from 1 species
CAAGUCGAGCGGCAGCGCGGGGCAACCUGGCGGCGAGCGGCGAACGGGUGAGUAAUGCAUCGGAACAUGUCCUGUCGUGGGGGAUAGCCCGGCGAAAGCCGGAUUAAUACCGCAUACGUCCGAGAGGAGAAAGUGGGGGACCGCAAGGCCUCACGCGAUUGGGUUGGCCGAUGUCCGAUUAGCUAGUUGGUGGGGUAAAGGCUCACCAAGGCGAUGAUCGGUAGCUGGUCUGAGAGGAUGAUCAGCCACACUGGGACUGAGACACGGCCCAGACUCCUACGGGAGGCAGCAGUGGGGAAUUUUGGACAAUGGGGGCAACCCUGAUCCAGCCAUUCCGCGUGAGUGAAGAAGGCCUUCGGGUUGUAAAGCUCUUUUGUCCGGAACGAAACGGUUAGUUCUAAUACGACUGACUACUGACGGUACCGGAAGAAUAAGCACCGGCUAACUACGUGCCAGCAGCCGCGGUAAUACGUAGGGUGCGAGCGUUAAUCGGAAUUACUGGGCGUAAAGCGUGCGCAGGCGGUUUUGUAAGCCAGAUGUGAAAUCCCCGGGCUCAACCUGGGAAUGGCAUUUGGGACUGCAAGGCUGGAGUGCGGCAGAGGAGACUGGAAUUCCUGGUGUAGCAGUGAAAUGCGUAGAUAUCAGGAGGAAUACCGAUGGCGAAGGCAGGUCUCUGGGCUGACACUGACGCUCAUGCACGAAAGCGUGGGGAGCAAACAGGAUUAGAUACCCUGGUAGUCCACGCCCUAAACGAUGUCGACUGGUUGUUGGGGGUUUGACACUCUCAGUAACGAAGCUAACGCGUGAAGUCGACCGCCUGGGGAGUACGGCCGCAAGGUUAAAACUCAAAGGAAUUGACGGGGACCCGCACAAGCGGUGGAUUAUGUGGAUUAAUUCGAU